GAUGAACGCUGGCGGCGUGCCUAAUACAUGCAAGUCGAGCGAACGGACGAGAAGCUUGCUUCUCUGAUGUUAGCGGCGGACGGGUGAGUAACACGUGGAUAACCUACCUAUAAGACUGGGAUAACUUCGGGAAACCGGAGCUAAUACCGGAUGAUAUUUUGAACCGCAUGGUUCGAAAGUGAAAGACGGUCUUGCUGUCACUUAUAGAUGGAUCCGCGCUGCAUUAGCUAGUUGGUAAGGUAACGGCUUACCAAGGCAACGAUGCAUAGCCGACCUGAGAGGGUGAUCGGCCACCCUGGAACUGAGACACGGUCCAGACUCCUACGGGAGGCAGCAGUAGGGAAUCUUCCGCAAUGGGCGAAAGCCUGACGGAGCAACGCCGCGUGAGUGAUGAAGGUCUUCGGAUCGUAAAACUCUGUUAUUAGGGAAGAACAUAUGUGUAAGUAACUGUGCACAUCUUGACGGUACCUAAUCAGAAAGCCACGGCUAACUACGUG
rnacentral:rRNA from 1 species